rnacentral:rRNA from 1 species
GGUGAUUCUGGUGGAAUGAGCGGCGGACGGGUGAGUAACACGUGGGCAACCUGCCUGUAAGACUGGGAUAACUUCGGGAAACCGGAGCUAAUACCGGAUAGUAUUUCCUUUCUCCUGAUUGGAAAUGGAAAGACGGUUUCGGCUGUCACUUACAGAUGGGCCCGCGGUGCAUUAGCUAGUUGGUGGGGUAAUGGCCCACCAAGGCGACGAUGCAUAGCCGACCUGAGAGGGUGAUCGGCCACACUGGGACUGAGACACGGCCCAGACUCCUACGGGAGGCAGCAGUAGGGAAUCUUCCGCAAUGGACGAAAGUCUGACGGAGCAACGCCGCGUGAGCGAUGAAGGCCUUCGGGUCGUAAAGCUCUGUUGUUAGGGAAGAACAAGUACGAGAGUAACUGCUCGUACCUUGACGGUACCUAACCAGAAAGCCCCGGCUAACUACGUGCCAGCAGCCGCGGUAAUACGUAGGGGGCAAGCGUUGUCCGGAAUUAUUGGGCGUAAAGGGCUCGUAGGCGGUUUCUUAAGUCUGAUGUGAAAGCCCACAGCUCAACUGUGGAGGGUCAUUGGAAACUGGGGAACUUGAGUGCAGAAGAGGAGAGUGGAAUUCCACGUGUAGCGGUGAAAUGCGUAGAUAUGUGGAGGAACACCAGUGGCGAAGGCGACUCUCUGGUCUGUAACUGACGCUGAGGAGCGAAAGCGUGGGGAGCAAACAGGAUUAGAUACCCUGGUAGUCCACGCCGUAAACGAUGAGUGCUAGGUGUUAGGGGGUUUCCGCCCCUUAGUGCUGAAGUUAACGCAUUAAGCACUCCGCCUGGGGAGUACGGCCGCAAGGCUGAAACUCAAAAGAAUUGACGGGGGCCCGCACAAG